UGCAUGUCUAAGUACAUGCCGUAUUAAGGCGAAACCGCGAAUGGCUCAUUAAAUCAGUUAUGGUUCCUUGGAUCGUACCUUACUACUUGGAUAACUGUGGCAAUUCUAGAGCUAAUACAUGCAGCAGAGCUCCGACCUUCGGGAACGAGCGCUUUUAUUAGACCAAAACCAAUCCGACCUCGUGUCGGUCUCUUGUGGUGACUCUGUAUAACUUUGGGCUGAUCGCACGGGCCUGUCCCGGCGACGUAUCUUUCAAGUGUCUGCCUUAUCAACUUUCGAUGGUAGGUUACGCGCCUACCAUGGUCGUAACGGGUAACGGGGAAUCAGGGUUCGAUUCCGGAGAGGGAGCCUGAGAAACGGCUACCACAUCCAAGGAAGGCAGCAGGCGCGCAAAUUACCCACUCCCAGAACGGGGAGGUAGUGACGAAAAAUAACAAUACGGGACUCUUUUGAGACCCCGUAAUUGGAAUGAGUACACUCUAAAUCCUUUCACCAGGAUCCAUUGGAGGGCAAGUCUGGUGCCAGCAGCCGCGGUAAUUCCAGCUCCAAUAGCGUAUAUUAAAGUUGUUGCGGUUAAAAAGCUCGUAGUUGGAUCUCAGUUCCAGACGGGUGGUCCGCCUACCGGUGGUUACUGCCUGUUCUGAACAGCCAGCCGGUUUCUCUUGAUGAUCUUCACCGGUUGUCUUGGGUGACCGGCAAGUUUACUUUGAAAAAAUUAGAGUGCUCAAAGCAGGCGUGACGCCUGAAUAAUGGUGCAUGGAAUAAUGGAAUAGGACCUCGGUUCUAUUUUGUUGGUUUUCGGAACACGAGGUAAUGAUUAAGAGGGACAGACGGGGGCAUUCGUAUUGCGACGCUAGAGGUGAAA
rnacentral:rRNA from 1 species